AUUGAACGCUGGCGGCAUGCUUUACACAUGCAAGUCGAACGGCAGCGGGGAGGAGCUUGCUUCUCUGCCGGCGAGUGGCGAACGGGUGAGUAAUACAUCGGAACGUGUCGAGAAGAGGGGGAUAACCACCCGAAAGGGUGGCUAAUACCGCAUAAAUUCUGAGGAAGAAAGCUGGGGACCUAGGAAUAGGCCUAGCGCUUUUUGAGCGGCCGAUGUCGGAUUAGCUAGUUGGUGAGGUAAAGGCUCACCAAGGCGAAGAUCUGUAGCGGGUCUGAGAGGAUGAUCCGCCACACUGGGACUGAGACACGGCCCAGACUCCUACGGGAGGCGGCAGUGGGGAAUUUUGGACAAUGGGGGCAACCCUGAUCCAGCCAUGCCGCGUGUAUGAAGAAGGCCUUAGGGUUGUAAAGUACUUUUGUUAGGGAAGAAAAGUCAGCUGUGAAUAAUGGCUGAUACUGACGGUACCUAAAGAAUAAGCACCGGCUAACUACGUG
rnacentral:rRNA from 1 species